rnacentral:rRNA from 1 species
AUUGAACGCUGGCGGCAUGCCUUACACAUGCAAGUCGAACGGCAGCACGGGAGCAAUCCUGGUGGCGAGUGGCGAACGGGUGAGUAAAGUAUCGGAACGUGCCCAGUCGUGGGGGAUAACGUAGCGAAAGUUACGCUAAUACCGCAUACGAUCUAUGGAUGAAAGCGGGGGAUCGCAAGACCUCGCGCGAUUGGAGCGGCCGAUAUCAGAUUAGGUAGUUGGUGGGGUAAAGGCUCACCAAGCCGACGAUCUGUAGCUGGUCUGAGAGGACGGCCGGCCAACCUGGGACUGAGACACGGCCCAGACUCCGACGGGAGGCAGCAGUGGGGAAUUUUGGACAAUGGGCGAAAGCCUGAUCCAGCCAUGCCGCGUGCAGGAUGAAGGCCUUCGGGUUGUAAACUGCUUUUGUACGGAACGAAAAGGUUUGGCCUAAUAAGCUGAGCUCAUGACGGUACCGUAAGAAUAAGCACCGGCUAACUACGUGCCAGCAGCCGCCGUAA